ACCCACGACCCGCUGUCCCGUGGCAAUGAUGCCUAGAGAGCAGGAGCAGCGGUGCGCAACGAGCCAGGGAGCAGCGCUGGCAAGCUACUCCUCGGCGUCGGCGGCUCUCCUUCCGCGCAGCGACGCCUCUCCGUCCCUCACCUCCUCUCCCUCACCAUGGGGCCGCGGGAGGGCUCGACGCUGACGGGUGGUGGCAGGCGGCGGCGCCCUCCCUUCCGGCGGGAGGGGAGGCGGCGGGCAGGGGCGGCGCCCUCCCCUCUGCCGGAUCCAAUGGGAGGGGAGGCGGCGGCGGUCCGGCGUCCCAGAUCCGUCCUCUUCUGCUCCAUCUCCUCCUCUUCCUGCACUCACCCUUCCCGGCAAGGGCGCGGCGACUCGAGGCGGCGGCGACGGCGACUCGGUCUUCCGGACUCCUCCCGCCGCCGGCUACGGCAUCAACCGGCGACGACCUCCAUGGUAACGAGCUGACGGCGACAAUGGGCUGCAGUGUUGGAGGUCGGAGAUGGGCCGAUCUGGGAGGUGCGAUGGUGACGCCGCCCCCUCCUGUUCUUCCUCCCACACCAGAAGCAGAAGCAGUGACGAUGGCGAUGAUAAUGAAUUACUCGCGUGAUUUGUUCAUGUUUAUUCAUGUUUUUUUUAUCUUGAGGAUUUGUAUGUGUUGUUCAUAUCUUGAAAUAAGGUUAUGGGGAUUAUUGUUUGUUGUUCAUAUAUUCAUCUUCAAUUUGGGGAUGGGUAUUGAAGUACUCAAUGAAGAAAAUUGGAUCGAUUUGAGCC
rnacentral:lncRNA from 1 species